GAUGAACGCUGGCGGCGUGCCUAACACAUGCAAGUCGAACGAACAGGCGAGGAUCUUGUUCCGUCCACGAUAGCGGAGGGCGGGUGUGUAACACGUAUGUAACCUACCUGUCAUUCGGGGAUAACUACGGGAAACGGGAGCUUAUACGGGAGGAGAUUCUGAACCACAGGGGUGGAUAGUGAAAGAUGGCGGUGCGGGCAGUUAUAGAGGGACCUCGGCUGUAUUAGGUAGUUGGUAAGGUCACGGCUUACCAAGGCAACGAUACGUAGCCGACCUGAGAGGCUGAUAGGCGACACUGGAACGGAGCCACGGACCAGACUACUGAGGGACGCAGCAGACUGGAAUCUGCCGCAACGGGGGAAAGCCUUACGGAGCAAGGCCGAGUGAGUUACAACAGCCCUCCGUUCGUAAAACUCUGUUUUUAGUUGAGAACAAACUUGUACUGAAAUGUGGCGUUCUUGACGGUACCUAAUCAAAAAGCACCGGCUAACUACGUG
rnacentral:rRNA from 1 species